AUGUGAUGGUAAUCUGGCUUCAACAUCUGCCACCCACUGAUCACCAGGGUUGAUUCAGCUGAUACCUGGCUACACAAGUGUCCCCUUCCUCCACUGUUCCAUAUGUAGCCCUCCUCAAGUUGAAAAAUGGGUUGAUGAGGAUGACCUUCCCUGAUAGAAGAGGAGCAUUCUUUAAUCAAGGGUGUGCAAGUAGCUCUCUAAACUCUCAAGGUAAAGGUUUUCACAUGCACUGUUGGUUUUAUAGUCAAUCACUGCAAAUAGCAAGAAACUUAAUUUCCGAGAGAUUUUAAGUUGUGGU
rnacentral:snRNA from 1 species